rnacentral:tRNA from 1 species
AGUCUUAUAUUCAAAAUGAUUUAAAAUUGCAAAUUUUAAGGUAGAUAAAUUCUUAAGGCUU